rnacentral:rRNA from 1 species
UACGGAGGGAGCUAGCGUUGUUCGGAAAUACUGGGCGUAAAGCGCACGUAGGCGGCGCAGCAAGUCAGGGGUGAAAUCCCGGGGCUCAACCCCGGAACUGCCUCUGAAACUGCAGUGCUAGAAUCUUGGAGAGGCGAGUGGAAUUCCGAGUGUAGAGGUGAAAUUCGUAGAUAUUCGGAAGAACACCAGUGGCGAAGGCGACUCGCUGGACA